rnacentral:lncRNA from 1 species
UAGCCGGCAAGCUUCCCCAAAGCCUUUGCUGUGGCUUGGAAGGGCUUUGUCUCUUCAGAUGAUCCUUGCUGGGGCUUGGUCCUCCAGUGAUGUGGAAGAAAAGCCAUGUGCUUCGGCUGAGCUAAGGGAGGGCGAGGCGCCUCUGUGAGGGAAGGAAUCCUGUGAUCUGGUCACUUAUCCCACACCAUCUACUGACGGCACAGCAUGGGAACUGGGUGGGAACAGCCUGGAUUAGAAAUGGCCCUGCGAUUCCAAGUGACACCUCACCGGCAAGCCUUCGCAUCUGCUCAGCUCUGCUCCGUGUGGACUGUGGCCACAGCACAUGCGCACGAAACAGCAGCUGUGGAAGGGAAUUCUGGCAUCUGUGUCUGGGGCUUUGGGCAGGUGGCCGAGAAGCUGCCUGUGCUGAAAACGGCUUUAUGUCAGAUACGGAAAGCAAGGCGCAUCUGUCCCAGCUGAGCUCAGCCCCACAGUGGGCCUUCCCGCUGAAAGAAGCUACACAAUAAGCCUGGGUGGAUCCUUCACUUGACUUACUCCAUAGAACACGGCAGAGGUGAUAUUCAAUUUCCAAGGCCAGCCCGCAAGACAUUCUGUAGCUCCUGCUCUUAUCCAGCUGUUGAUAAAGUCUUCCACAAAAGGUCAGCUCAGGUGUCCCAGCUGCCCUGAUCCCUGGAGUGACUCCCAUUUAAACCUGUAGCUCACGAAGUGCAUGUGUAUGCAGAGGACAAGCCAGCAGAAGAAAUCGUGGGUUUGUUAGCCCAGUGAGCCAUGAGAAAGAAUUCAUUGAAGUAGUUUUAGGUCAUGGCUGUUUAUGAUGUUUGCCCUGUAGCAAUGUUUAACUGGCGCCUUCUGCUUACAAGGCCUGGAUGUAGCUGAUGGCAGUUUUCUGGUGAAAAGGCUUGGGAUCCUACAGCAGCUGAGGUACUUUCACCACACUGCUCUCCACAGGAGCCUCUCUCCACAUCAUCUCUCACAGCGAGACAGCUGGCGUCCCUUAGAAUGAGUGGCCUCAGAGAGGGAGGCUGUGGCAAAGAUGGAGGCUGUCACAUUGUUUAUAACCUGACAUCAGGCUGGGACAAUCAGAAGCUAUGUGAAGAGAAUACUGUUAACUAGGACCCAGGAGCUUAAACAUUUUCAGGUCCACAUCAUUUCCCAGGAAAUCCGCUGUGUUUGAGAGGAGUAAAUGUAAUGGGAGCUUUAGUUUCCAUUAGACAGGAAGUACUUGACUCUCAGUUUUCUCACCCGCCAAGUUAAGUGUCAUGUCUGUGUCUGUGCCUGUGUUCCAGGGUUGUGGCGAUUAUAUGAGAGGAGGCAUCUGAGGACGCUGUCCACAGAGAAGUUGUUUGAAAUCAAGGUUUGACUCUGACCUACAUUUGUACUCCACUGUCACCAUGGUGACUAGCCUAAGUCUUUAUAAUUCGUAGCCUUCAGUCUUUCUGUUCUGUUGGUUGCGGUCAGGAUGGAAUG